rnacentral:rRNA from 1 species
GCUGGGGGGAGGGUAGCAGCGGGUGUAGUGAGUAGGGGGCAAGCUGUGGCGGUGAUUAUGGGGCGUAUGUGGUUCGGAGGAGGGUUGUCGCGUCGGAUGUCAAAGCCCGGGGGUUAACGCCGGGUCUGAAUUCGAUACGGGCAGGCUAGAGUUCGGUAGGGGAGAUCGGAAUUCCUGGUGUAGCGGUGAAAUGCGCAGAUAUCAGGAGGAACACCGGUGGCGAAGGCGGAGCUCUGGGCCGAUACUGACGCUGAGGAGCGAAAGCGUGGGGAGCGAACAGGAUUAGAUACCCGUGUAGUC